AGCGUUAAUGAACGCCGCGCUCUAAAAUCGUCUGCAGACGAUCGCGAUACUUGUGAAGAAUUUAUUGUCGAAUGACUUGCCGCGUAUUUACCCAACGCUCCCCCAUUCACCUGUUGCUUCUUUGCAACAACUUGGGAGCAAAUAAUCGCGACAAUAUACCAAUCCUCUCUUUGUGAGUGCUCAGUGCUGAUUUCGCCACCGCCGGCUAGCCAGGAUAAAGGAUCUUACUCCUCCGGGUGAAAGGCGAGGUUGAGGUUUCCAUGAAAAAGUGUCGCCAAACUGGAUUCUUGACUCCUUGGUGAUCUUUCGCGCUCAGAAGCAACACCAUUUCUUCCGUUGACUUUCACAGGGUUGCUUGCCUCUGUAAUUCGGCUAAACUGGAUUAAGAGUCUUUGAGUAAGAGAUCUAUUUUCUUCUGUGUGUCUGGAUCGCCAGUAGACAACCACAUAUUCGUCAGAAAGGAGAAGACGCCAGAAGCCCAACUACUCCUCAUAUCACCGGGACCGCCAAGAACCUCUUCGGAAUAUCUCUCGACAUCUUUCGACGAGGGAUUCGUGAUUAAAACGGAAAUCGUCGGUGACGCAGAACAAAUCGUCUCUCACAGAACGUCGCCGACUUUACGUGACUCUGUCAUCUGAAAAGAAUAGGAAAAUUGCAACAUCAUUAUUGCACAACAGGGCAUGACUUAUUCCUCUGCAGAUACCGUGUACAUUACUUGUAACUCUAAAUUGGAAUUGGAAGUCGGGCCAUCGUCACUCUCCGCUACUGUUCGGCGUCCUUCGUCUUCGUCCGGAAUCUUCGUAAAAUACAUCGUGGGUGUCGGACACUGACCGAAAAUAAGCAGCUGAUUCGUCGCUCGGAAAUUAAUUCAUCUUGCUAACUGAUGUAAUUUGGAAGCCCGAUUGAAACUUCGAUACAAGCAUUAUGACGAAAAUACACAACACCAUUGUCUGUCUCACGCUCACUCUUCUUUUCGUGACUGUGAAUGCCGGGGGAGCCGCUCCUAAUUGGUUGCAUUCUAUCUGCUCUUGGUUCGGUUUCUGUAACGAGGUGUGUUACGGAGACCUCGGGUGCUUCGACACCUCGCUCAACUGCCACCGGGACUUCUUUCCGCCCCUCCCACCCGAAGACAUCAACAC
rnacentral:lncRNA from 1 species